GGGGCAGGCAGAGGACAAUGAUGGAAAUCCACGUGGGGGAAACAUUAUGGGGGAAUCAUUAUGGUGGGAACACAUUCGGACAUAGAGGUGUUUUCUGGAGCCUCUAGAAUCCCUCCAUUUAGAGGAUAGCCUCUGUCUUCCAUGUCCAAGGGCAGAUCUGAGGGGAACAGCUGUGGUGUGGUAGUAGUAGCUGCCUAAGCCCUGCACCUGGAUCUGCACAGUGCUCGGCGUGAGCUGCCCAUCAGGGCCAUUGACAGUAAGGCAGAGCCAGGAUCCAGGCCAGACUGUCAUAGGUGACUGGAGAAAACUGAUGUUAGAGAACUUUCAAAGGAGGAAUGCCAGGAUUUGUUGACCUUUUAAAGAAAAUGGGAAUGAAAAGAAUGAGAAGAGAAAGGAACCCCAAGUUCAGGGGCAAAAAAAUACAUUUGGCUCUAAUAAUGUGGGAAUCAGUUUUGGAGGGUCACUCCUUUUCUGAGCUCUCCCAAUUCCUCUGCUUUUUCAGCCUCUGUCAUCUCUUCUUAAGAGAGCACAUCUGUUCAUGCCAUUUUAAAAAACAGAGUCCUGUUUGUGCAAUUGAUUGGCUCUCAUCUUUUGAGGAGGGCAGCUCUGCUUGUUUCUAAAGACCUGGUCAGCUGCACUUUGAGAAUUCACCAUAAUAUCAAAACAAUCUUGUUGCAAACCAAAUCACAAGCUCUGCAGCCAGGUCUUCUUCUGUUCUGUGGUCUAUGAACUGGUAGGGAGGAGAAGGACCAGGGAAGAACAGGGGACUUAAGGGACAACCGGAGGCAAUUUCUAGGGUCCAGGGAAAGAGCCCUGAGGAGCCGUGAUAGAUCUAGACCUCCUUCUCUCAUCAUGGAAGGUCUAUGUUCGAAGUGAGUGAGGAUACACAUCUCAUGUGUAUAUGUUUGUGUGUUAGGAAUGAACCAGAAACUCUUUCCCAGAGUGAAUCAUGCUUAAAUAAUAUUUAAGAGACCCUGUUUUUGACUAUCAUCAGUUGGCAGUUGUGGCCGUCAGCCUCCAAGAUGAUCACCAAAUCCUGGCCUCCUGGUAUUCAUACUUUUGUAUAGUUACUUUCCCUAGUGAACAGGGCUGACCUCUGUUACCAAGUGGAUAUUGCAGGAAGAGUUGUGUAUGACCUGCGAGCCCAGCUCAUGAGAGGCAUGGACUUCCCCCUUGUUUCUGGGUUGGCUCCUUCUGGGAGAAGCCUUGGGAGGAGAAGUCAUAAGCACAGUCAACCAGUACCAUGGAGAGGUCCACGUGAGGAGAAGCUGAGGCCUCCCUCCAACAGCCAAGUGAAUGGUGAACCAUUUUGGAAGUGGGUCCUCCAGCCCCUGCAAAGCCUUCAGAUGACUGAAGGCCAGGCUAACCCCUUGACACAGUAUCAUAAAG
rnacentral:lncRNA from 1 species